GCUGGGCAUGGUGGUGCAUGCCUGUAGUCCCAGCUACUCAGGAAGCUGAGGUGGUAGGAUCACUUGAGCCUAGGAGGUUGAGGCUGCAGUGAGCCAUGAUUGUGCCACUGCACUCCAGCCUGGGUGACAGAGUGAGACCCUGUCUCAA
rnacentral:SRP_RNA from 1 species